GGACGUGAGGGCGCUCUGGCCACGAUAUCUGUUACCCCACGGAUCAGCAGAGCUGAUUGCGCCGAUCUGGCUGGUGAAACAAGUGUCCCCUCUCUCCCUCACUGCCCCACGCAUGUCCAUCCUGAAGCUGCACGGUCUGUCAAAGAGGGCGACUACCCGUAGAGGAGGACCUCCUCAGGUAGGUUAUAUGAGUAGCUAUACUCCCUGCUAGAACCACCACACAAGGUUUCAAAGACACUACACCAAGGGGCUGGGUAUUUAGCUCAGCGGCAAAAGCGCCUGCCUGGCAAGCGC
rnacentral:snRNA from 1 species